rnacentral:lncRNA from 1 species
CCACAAUUCAUCACAGCUACUCAGGAAGAGGUAGCUGUUCUCCCCUGUUUCACAUCAACUCACAGAGAUUUAGAAACCAGAGUGAAAUGGACAAAACUUUCACCUAAACCUGAGGACAUCUUGGUGUGGCCUGAUGAUCCAUCUGUGGCCCAUAAGUCAGAACGUGUGGCCUUCGAGUCGGGAGCGGAUGGUGUGGUGGCUGGAAACCUGUCCCUGUCUCUAAGAGAUAUAAGGAAAUCUGAUGAAGGGCUUUAUAGCUGCAAGGUCUGGCAGGGAUGGAGUUGUGUCAUGGUGAAAAACAUCACUCUAAAAGUGAAAGAAUGCAAAAUCCUACAUUCAGUUAUGGCAGCACCCAAUGGAAUAGCUACCCUGCCUUGCCUGUUGAACAUGACAACAGGAAAGCCCCAAAUAUCUUCGGUGUCCUGGGCAGAGAUCAAGGGAGACAGUGAGAUCCAAAUACUUCAAUACCCUACAGAUAUCUCCAACCAAACAUUCCUAGGAAAAAGGGUGAGCUUUAGAGGAAAUCUCAGUUCAGGAGAUGCAUCUUUGGCUCUCUCCAUGGUGGAGUACAGUCACAGCCAAUGGUACAGAUGUAGGUUGCAGAUGGGACAAAAUGAACGCUGCUUUGAGGUCAAGCUACAGGUUAAAGAACAGGAAGAGGAGAACCUGGUUCUAAGGACUUCCACCACAACUGAACUAGCAAACCCUGUUACUGCCAGUCAGAGUCCAGAAAGAGAUGCGACCGCUACGGCUGGAACGGCUACUAUAGUGGCUUCAUCCAUGUGUGUGAUUGUCAUAAUGGCUCUUACGCUGGGCUUGAUCAUCUUCCUCAGACGCCGCAGACACUCAGAUGAAGAUGAGUCUGACUGGAAUACUUAUGAAGAUGUACAAGACCCAGGACCUGAGCCCUAGGACCAUGCCUCAGGACUACCUGGUAUGAUGACUCCUUGCUGUCCCCAGUCCACCUGGCCGUGCUGCUGCUCCAGUUUCAACUGUUCUGCCUGCAGCUAUGGAACCCUGACCUGUUCACCGGACGUGCUUGUUGCACCCUCGACAACUACUAUGAUUAUUAUUAUUUGACCAUACUGGUCAUUUAUGAACAUUUUAACAUUUUAACAUUUUGACCAUGUUCUGUUAUAAUAUCCACCCUGCACAGCCAGAAGAGGACUGGCCACCCCUCAUAGCCUGGUUCCUCUCUAGGUUUCUUCCUAGGUUUUUGGCCUUUCUAGGGAGUUUUUCCUAGGGAGUUUUUCCUAGCCACCGUGCUUCUUUCACAUGCUUUGCUUGCUGUUUGGGGUUUUAGGCUGGGUUUCUGUACAGCACUUUGAGAAUAUCAGCUGAUGUACGAAGGGCUAUAUAAAAAUAAAUUUGAAAAUUUGAUUAGAUCCGCGUCAUAGCGCGAUUGACAUUUAAAGGCAAUGCUACCUGGUUCGCGGAGAUAGCACUCAUGGUAAAAUGCAUAUGUCAGCUCAAUCGAAAAUGACCUUUAAAUAUCAAGCACGCUAAAAUGCGGAUCUUUCGCGAUCUGGUUUGAAUCUAGCUUCUGGUCACUGUCUGAGUCCAGGUUAAAAUGCUGUUUCUAACAACUUCAGUUCUGUAAUCAAUUAACAUUUAAUUAAAAUGUAUUUAUUUUUAUUUCUUUCAG